AGUCUGCUGGUGUGGUGUGGUUUCUGUUUGUACCAGUUUAGGUACUUUAUUUGCAUGUUCUUUGCAUGACUUUUUUGAUGUUUUUGUUGGUUUGUAUGGGUGUGGGUGUUUUACCCGUAGUUCUUCUCUUUGUUACACCUGGGAUUCUAAACGGGUUAGAAAGGUGACGUUAUGCAUUCUACACCCUGUAGAACUCUAAUCUGUUUGGAGUCUCAGAAUGGAUUAUGCACACCAAGAGUCCAGCUGACUGCUCUGAACCUCAAAGCCUUACAGGAGUUUCUCAAGAACUGCUACAAUACAGGAAAAAGUUUUAAAAUAUUUUACAUUGAAAGUUUAAGUUUUGAAAGUGGAGUGUUCUUGAGGAGGAUGGGGAAGAAAGUCAAAAUCAAAUAAAUAAAUAUUCAUUCUGAAAAA